rnacentral:rRNA from 1 species
GAUGAACGCUGGCGGCGUGCUUAACACAUGCAAGUCGAACGAUGAAGCCCAGCUUGCUUGGUGUGUUAGUGGCGAACGGGUGAGUAACACGUGAGUAACCUCCCCUUGACACUGGGAUAAGCGCUGGAAACGGCGUCUAAUACCGGAUACGAGCUUCCACCGCAUGGUGAGUUGCUGGAAAGAAUUUCGGUCAAGGAUGGACUCGCGGCCUAUCAGGUAGUUGGUGAGGUAACGGCUCACCAAGGCGACGACGGGUAGCCGGCCUGAGAGGGUGACCGGCCACACUGGGACUGAGACACGGCCCAGACUCCUACGGGAGGCAGCAGUGGGGAAUAUUGCACAAUGGGCGCAAGCCUGAUGCAGCAACGCCGCGUGAGGGACGAAGGCCUUCGGGUCGUAAACCUCCUUUAGCAGGGAAGAAGCGAAAGUGACGGUACCUGCAGAAAAAGCACCGGCUAACUACGUG